CCCUUAGAUGAUUUGGGCUGCACGCGCGCUACACUGACCCUAACAAUGAGCAACUGUCUGGCCUGAGAUGGCUGGGUAGCCUUUUCAACCCAUGUCAUGAUUGGGCUAGAUUUUUGUAAGUCUUGAUCUCUAACGAGGAAUCCCUAGUAUGCGUGAAUCAUCAAUCCAUGCAGAUUAUGUCCCUGCCCUUUGUACACACCGCCCGUCGCUCCUACUGAUUGGGUGAUCCGGUGAAGCCUCGGGAUUGUGGCGGUUGCCUUUAUUGGUGGCCGCCGCGAGAACUUGUCUAAACCUUAUCAUCUAGAGGAAGGUGAAGUCGUAACA
rnacentral:rRNA from 1 species